AAGCCGCUCCCCCGAACUUCUCCUGGGCAAACGUCAGAGUUCAAGGUAGAAGCGGAGUCCUACCAGCAACCCUGUCUGUUCUUCAGGUAGUGUCAUCACACCGGCUCAGGAGGGCAACUUGCCGCCCGAAUGGAGGGACAGAGUCAAGGUCAGGCCGAGGCAGGAAGGCCAGACUGUUACCAAAACUGUAUGUCGUCCAUGUGAAGUCCCGAGCGCCACUUCCUGAGACCUCAGCUCGAGUUCAGGAGGGACGAGCACGGGAGACACGGCUGCACUGGACGACCAUGACGUUAUCCGGGCAUCCAGGCCACGCCCUGUGUGGCGGGCCCUGCUCAUGUGCUGGGAUCUUGGGUAUACACGAACACGCGCCCAA